AUGCUGAGUGGAUCCAGUAGCAUAGAUUUCAGAGCAACAGCCCCAGGAUUUCCUUACCACAGCUGUGUUUCCCAUGCUGAUCUUACCUUGUCUGUCUUUGCAGCAAUGGCUCCCCGGAUAAGACUGAGUGUUUCAAAGCCUCUCCCAACCAUCUGCGAGGAGGCAAUGGAAGACGUAACCAGCAACCCAAAGCACACUGCAAACACUUCAACCAACCCAGAUCUGUACUCUAGCAAUGAUUAUAUUCAAUCUAUCUGCCACCUUGCCAGACCCACCUUCCCAGGCAUUCCUGAAAGCAGCCAUAGGGUUCAGGACAGAAGAAUCCUGCAGACCCUGGAAGCCAUGUCAUGGUCCCCAUCCCAGCAAGAAACGUCAAUGUGUAAACUGACCAAUUUAAUCUCAAAUGUGAUGCCGCUGGGAAAAGCUGCGUCUGCUCCUGAUGAUGCAGAAGCCGACUUCUGGUCCAGACGGGACCCCCUGGCAGAGAUCUACAGGCACACGGGAAAUCUUUGCUCCUCCAAGGGUUUGUGGAGCAAAAGCUCCAGCACUGACUCCUCCCAGUGCACCUCCUCCAGCCACCUGGGCUCCCUUCAUCCCCCAGCCAUGAAAGAAGAAGCUGCAGGGAAACCACAUUUCCCACGAAUGUUCAGUUUUCCAAGGUUUCCCUCUCCAAGGCCAAUGCAGAAAGAAACGCUCUGCUCAGAGCUGAGGUGUCUCAGAAAGGAUGAGGGGAUGGUUGUAGGGAGCAAUCACAGCCAGAAAGAAGAUACUCCCAGGUUUAUUAACACUGAAGAGCUAUUGCUGUGCUCGGCCAGAGGGAAGCUACUGGGAAAUCGGGCUUUGCGCUGCUCUGUAAGGAGGCAGGGUUUGUUUGAGGCAGCAGGUGCUGAUGAAAAAGAAGGGAGAGGAACUUCUCACUGUGACAAAAACGCAGUGGGUGAUGUUCCCAGUAAACAGAGAUACUCCGAGUGCUUCCGGGCAGCUAAAAAAGCCGUGAUCCAUAAUUGGAUUUCAGAGCACAGAUGCAUGUGGAAAGAAGCAAAGAUAAAGGCUUGUUUGCUCCCAGCCAUUGCUGAAGUGUGA
rnacentral:lncRNA from 1 species